UACGUAGGGCGCAAGCGUUGUCCGGAAUUAUUGGGCGUAAAGAGCUCGUAGGCGGCUUGUCACGUCGGUUGUGAAAGCCCGGGGCUUAACCCCGGGUCUGCAGUCGAUACGGGCAGGCUAGAGUGUGGUAGGGGAGAUCGGAAUUCCUGGUGUAGCGGUGAAAUGCGCAGAUAUCAGGAGGAACACCGGUGGCGAAGGCGGUUCUCUGGGCACGAUCUGACGCUGAGGAGCGAAAGUGUGGGGAGCGAACAGG
rnacentral:rRNA from 1 species